AUAGAAUAAAUUCUUAAAGAUGCUUUCCCUUGACCACUUAAACAAUGACUUGUUAUUUAUUCUCCUUGAACCCGUUGAAAAACAUUCUUUCAACAAAGCCCAAAUAAUCUUCCUAAAAAUUACACUUUGGGCAUUUCAUCUUCUCCUCAAAGAUGUUCAUGUCUUCUCACUUCUUCCAGAAGCAAUCUAUCAGCAUGACAUUCAAGUCUUCCCCACUACAGACCUAAACUACACAGAAAGAAGGAAUUUUUUAAAAACCUGAAAACACAGCUAUUAUUAGUUUAGCAUCUACUGUGAACCAGACUCAUUAACAACAUAUUCACAUAUGUUAUUAUAAAUCUUCACACAGACUUGCAAGGUGGCAUUAUUAUUAUUACUAUCUUCAUUUUACAGAGCAGCCCAAUAAUUCAUCUAAGGCCACAGAGCUGGUUAGAGGCAGAGUGAGAUCUUGAAUCACAGACCACUUGCCUUUAAAAGAUGUGCUCUUUGUGUUAGUCCACACUCUCUGCCUUAUCCCUCAAGCCGUUUAUUCUGCUCAAACUGAACACCUCACUAAUUUGAGAUAGGCUGUAUUUCCUCCCUUUGAAGCUAUACUCAUUCUAGUCUCUUCAUCUGGCAUGUCCCUUCUUCAGGUUCCACCAGUCAAAAUCUGACCCACCCUGUCUGUCUACAUUUCUUUAAUCUCUCCAACCAGCAAUAUUCUUACCUUCUUUGGUAUAUAGCCCAUGCUGCCUUAAACCAGGGUCAUAUGUACAAUAUUUACUUCCCUCCUUGAUGUUAAAUCUCUUCAUAUCUCCACCAACUCCAAAUAAAUUGCUAUUCCAUAAAUACGUGUUGAAUUAAAAUGAUCACCACUACACUUUCUACUUUGAAACUUUCAUUAGGACUAUAAUGUAAUUAAAAGUCAGAACUGGAUUUCAAUGCCUGCUUAGCCGUUUAUUAGCAGUACUAUCUUGGGAAAAUUCUUUGGCAUCAUUAAACAUUAGUUGCCUGAUUCAUAAAGUGAGGAUAUUAAUAGUGACUACCUCAUUGAGUUGUUGUGAGCUCACAAUAAGAUAAUGUAAACAAACUCCUUACACAGCAUCUGGUAGCUGGUACUUUGUCAAUCAAUAUUAGUGGUAAGUGAUAGUAAUGGUAGUAAUAUAAGAUGAUCUCUAAAGAUACAGUCUUAACCAAAUGUAGGAAAUAAUCAUCUGUGCCAUUAAAUUACCUGUCAUUUCAUAAAAAAUGGAGUAGAAAAAUAAACUGAAUAGAAGAGGUUAACUAAGGAGUCAAGAAUAGAAUAUGAAACAUAACUGCCAAUCAUCUCCUGUCAUCCUGAGCACAAACUGACUUCAGGAUGAAGGCUGUCGUGCAGACCCAUGGGAUCAAGCUUCCCUGAGGGAAUCCCUGGAUACCAAAAGCUCCACAAGGAGGAGAGGACGAUGAAUAAUGGAUGGAAAAACUAGGAACAACAAAAUUUCUGCAUUCCAGAGGGAGCCACGAGGGAGCACGAGGCUGAAGAGCUGAGAACAGCAAAGACAGCUCUGGAAAACAGGCCAGAGAUUGUUGUGCAGAGUACUGAAUGUCAUCUUAAGAGAUUGUUGGGGUCUUAACAGCACGGUGUUUCAUCAAUCUGCAUGACCACAUUGGUUACCUGAGAAGACACUGCAGCAAAGACAAUGCAAGUUCAAUGUUUGAGAAUGUCUGGGUAUUUAAAUAAACUAGAGGUUUAAUAGGUUCUCAGAGGAUGCUCUGUUUUAGAAAGCACAUUCCAGGAUCAACACAUAAAUCCUCAAUACUCAUAAAAUAGCCUGGGGAAAUACUGUGGGAGCUAUUCAUCAGAAUGAAAUUUUAGUUUCUGAGGUUGGGACAAAGAUAUUUCUUGAAGUGUCACAAUUCGUCCAGAAGAUUCCUCCAGACAGUGGGAACCACAAACACAAAAGCACUGAGGUGUUAAACACUGUGGUGAAUAGGAAGGACAUACAAGCUGCUCAGAAUAUCUGGUACAAGAAAGGCAGAGCACAAAGAGUGGAAAGGAGGAUGGAGCAGGCAAGAAAGAAGACCUAGAUAGGUAGGCUAGAGACAGAUUCUGAAGGACUUUGUAUAUUUUACUAAACAACAUGAAUUAUUUUUCAGUGGAGAUGAGAAACACUGAAAGACUUCAUACAGAGGGAGAUGCAAAGGGCUGCAGUUUAGAAAGAGCAAUUUGGCAACGAUGUGUAGGAUGGACAAAGUGGGUCCAAGAGAAAGGCAAUGAGAGUAGUUAACACGUUUUGUAAUAAAGCCUGGGAGGUAGGUACCAUAGAUCAGCCUGAGGCAGUUUCUGAGUGAAGAGCAGAGAAUACAUUUUAGAAGUAUUUAGGUGGUAGAAUAGAGAGGAUUUAAUCCAAUUAGCAAUUAAGAGCAAUGAUUACAGUGGGAACUGCCACCCUCACUGUUGUGAAAAAGAGUGCAUUCUAACCAAACUACACUGUCUUUCCAUUCUCCUUUUCUCUAAGAUACUGCUUGUCGAAUAAAACAAAUGGUAUGUGUGCCUUUUCCUAGGAGAUCAAGAUGACUUUUACAUAUACUCUGCACUCGGAAAGAUCUCGGCCACUCAGGAUGUGGAACUUUUCAAGAGGCGGGGAUAAAAGGAAGAGAAAGAAGAGAUGAUCAUUCCUGAGAUAGAAACAAGCCAGUGACGUGCAGCUAGGUGAACAGUCUAACAUAUUUACAAACAGCUCAGGAGCGAUUUUAAUUAGAAAAUAUAUUCCUGGACCGCCACACAGUAAUGAUUUAGUUCUCUUGCACCUUUCAGUAUGUCACUGUGGACUGAAGUGAGACUGAGAUGCAUUCAAAGACCAGAAAGGAAAAGUGUCCUUUACAAAAAAAGAGAGAGAACUAUCAAAGAAGACACUAAAGAUAGAAGUAUUUUUUUUAUCAGUUUUGAACGCAGUCACAGAAAUGGCCUUUUAUUAUAAAAGCCCUUUCACUCCAUAUGUGCUUAUAAUCUCAAUUGUUUGACCUGGUUACAGGCACCUUUUGCAGCAGUGGCCCCCAAUAGAAAAGCAGGACCUCUAUGAGCGAAGUCAUAGGUCACUUUAAACACACAGAGGCAGUGGUCAGAGGUUAUUCUGAGCAGAGCACAUUGCAUUGGGCAGAAAAAUCCAUGUCCGAUUGCUUCCAUCAAGGACAGACUCUCUUCCUUCUUAACAGGACAAUUGAACAUAUUAUCUCUUAGCAUCCUACACACUUUCCAAUCAGUAAUUAAGCAAAAAAAAAAUUAUUAAUUGCUAGGGCCUAUAUAAAAACAGAGACCCUCUAUUUGAAGGUGAAGAGUUUAUUUGAAAGUAGCUUUGAUUCCUUGACUUUUGAACUGAGAUUCUGUCCCACAACACCUCUCACACCCCAAGCCACCAGCCACAAGAAAAGUUUUUUCCUUCUUAGCAGUCUCUGGCUGCUGCAAACUUUCUCCACUUAUCUCAUCACAAGCCUCAAUUAAAGCAAGUGCUUUUUUUGGAGCAAAUUUCCUCCUCCCUUCCUUCUGUCCCAAGUUUGAUUCACCUGUCGAUUGACAUUCCUGCUUCAUUACUUGCUGACAGCUCAAAAUGCAAACCUAGUCCCUCAGCAAAUUACUUCUCAUCAUUUCCUUCCUUAACUUUAUCACUCAGUGGACUGUCAGGGGCAUUCAGCCGACUGUGGAAGAUCAGAAGUCUGUUGUGGCUCUGAGCUCCAUAAUUUUUGGCCUUGAAUCAGACAGAGUUAGAGUGGAUGUACUACUGGAUUCCUCCUUCAAGACGGGGAACUCAUUCCCCCGGCUGCUAGGAGUGCUGGCUGCUGACGGCUCGUGGUUCACUCCCUCUCUGGAACUGUCCUUAGUCAAUGGGGGUUGCCUCCUACAAUGUCUGGAUGGUUAGAAGAGGAUGCAGGAUACACAGACUCAGCUCCUCUUGCUCAGUUUGGGACAUCUCACAAGGAGCAGUCCAACUCCAGAGUUAGCUGUGGGAUUGGCUGAGGCUUUAUCUGCACCUGCAUCUCAGUCCAAAUUGCCCCUCUACCCAUGUCUGCCUCCCUCACUCCCAUUCAGGAAUUGUUUCACAGCACGCUUCCCAAUAAACCUCCCACACACAAUCUCCACCUGAACCUGUUUCCAGGAAACUUGACCUAAGGCAGUAGUGAAAAGUUCUGCCUCUUCUUGCUUUGUGACUUAUUUGCAUAUUGUUUUUCCUGAAGAGAUUACACUAUUAUACCUGCAUCACUGGCACAAGGUUUUAUUUGUUAGAUGGAUUGUUCAUUUUAAAAUGCCUAACAGGGUCUCCGGCCAUGGGCCUUUUUGCUUGCCUGACUCACUCUCAGAGGCCUGGUCAUUAUUCACCAGAUGACAGGUGCUCAUUAAGAGAUGGAAAACAUGGGACCAACUGUAAAGGGAUUUACAUUUUUAUUAAACUUCUUUGACUUUAGCUUGAUUUUUUUUAUAGAAUUGGUCUCAUUUUUCCAAAUUGUGCACCUGUGCUCAUGGUUGCC